rnacentral:rRNA from 1 species
GAGUUUGAUCGUGGCUCAGAACGAACGCUGGCGGCAGGCUUAACACAUGCAAGUUGAACGCGUGUAGCAAUACACGAGUAGCGCACGGGUGAGUAACGCGUGGGAAUAUGCCCUUCAGUACGGAAUAACGUCGGGAAACUGACGCUAAUACCGCAUAAUGUCUACGGACCAAAGAUUUAUCGCUGAAGGAUUAGCCCGCGUUGGAUUAGCUAGUUGGUAGGGUAACGGCCUACCAAGGCGACGAUCCGUAACUGGUCUGAGAGGACGACCAGUCACACCGGAACUGAGACACGGUCCGGACUCCUACGGGAGGCAGCAGUGGGGAAUAUUGGACAAUGGGGGCAACCCUGAUCCAGCGACGCCGCGUGGGUGAAGAAGGCCUGCGGGUUGUAAAGCCCUUUCGGUUGGGAAGAAAAGUUCUGAUUUAAUAAAUCGGGACCCUGACGUAACCAACUAAAGAAGCACCGGCUAACUCUGUGCCAGCAGCCGCGGU